UACCAGCACCCCGAGUUGUCGGGACGAUUAUUGGGCCUAAAGCAUCCGUAGCCUGUUCUGCAAGUCCUCCGUUAAAUCCACUUGCUUAACGGAUGGGCUGCGGGGGAUACCGCAGAGCUAGGAGGCGGGAGAGGCAAACGGUACUCAGUGGGUAGGGGUAAAAUCCAUUGAUCUACUGAAGACCACCAGUGGCGAAGGCGGUUUGCCAGAACGCGCUCGACGGUGAGGGAUGAAAGCUGGGGGAGCAAACCGG
rnacentral:rRNA from 1 species